CUCGGCGAGACCCCAGACCUGACAGACUCCCUGUGGGUCUCCCCCAAGUGCUGGUGACAAGGAGUCAGAUCAAACUGCGCAAAGUUCCACCGGGGGGCUGCCUUGGUAUCCCAACGCCAUAGGAAGCUGAGGCAGGAGGGUCUCCAGAUAGAGCUCAACUGGGCAGUGUAGCAGAACUAAGUCUCAGAAUGAAAACUACAGCCGGGCUGGGAUGUAGCUCAAUUCCUCAGCACAGCACGUGUACAAAAAGUUCGAUAAAAAAAAUCAAGGGAUUGCCAUAACCGCGACACUUUCGGUCGCGGGGGCAGAUUCACAGCAGUGCGCUGGGAGAAUCCAGAUUGUGACCGCAAAGGGUUCUGAGAUCCACGCAGGGAAUGCGGAGGGAAAAUAAACAACAAAGAUCAUAUCUGGGGCGACGGAAUUUCCAGGAAACAUGUGAGCGCCUGAAGAGACGGAGAACUCUGGUGGCACCAGCCUUCUGUCAUCCUGCCCACCAGCUCAAGCCAGGGCGUCAUGAGAGCAUCCCUCUCCCGGACCACGGGCGGGCCAUGACCCUCGCAGGAGGUGCAGCCCCCGGAGGCCACGGCUCAGCCCUUCUUUGCAGAUUCUCAACCAGCAUGCCGACCCAGCCGCACUACGGGGGAGAAGGGCGGGGGGACUGUCGCUGAGGAUGAAGGCCAUCUGCCCCGUCACCCAUCUUGCCAAGCCAUGACCAGGAGGUGGGGACUCCUGGGCAGUUCCCAUCAGGGGCCAUGUGGGGACCUGCAAGCUCCAUCCACCCUUGGUCUCAUCCGGCCAUCCCUGCCCGGCUGCCUGGCUCUGCCUGUUGUGAUGUUGUCGUCAGCCUUGUCCUUGUGCUUACUGACAACACCCCUGGGUCCCAUUCUCCGAGGGUCAGGCCAGCUAGAGUGUUUACCCCUGCCCCUGGCUAGAGGGACUACCCACAGGGCCCCCAUCUUCUAACAAUGCCAUCACCAAGGUAGGUGCCGCCGGGGACCUGCCCCACCUACUUCUCAGAUGCAAUCUACGCCAUACACCGACACCAACCACACCUAGUGCUCUACCACUUCCUCCUGUGUCCAGGGCGAGCAGCGCACUGGGAAGACACCCAAGGGACCCCCUGUGUUCUGUCCUGCUGAGUUACCCCACAUGUUUUUGUAUCCAGUCUGUCGCAAAGAGGAGAGACCACGUCUUGGAGGAAGGGAAUCACUCUAUGAAAACAGAGGCUAGAGACUUUGCACAUGCAAGAAGAGCAUUGUGGGAAAUCCGAGCAGCAAAUCUAGCGUUUUGGUUCCCUGGGAACUUGAACCGAUGCAUCAGGCACUUUCUCCAUCGCGUCCCACUUGAGACCCCUCCUCCCACCGAAAGGGACCCUGGACUGUUUAGCCCUCUGCUUGGUUAACAGCAGGAUGAAGACAGGCUCCUGGUGGAGGGGUACUAUUUCUCCACGGAUGUCCCACGCCAUGGUGCAGCCAGCAGCAGCCACACCUCGUGCUGUCCGUCCCCGCCCCGGUGAGCUUUUCUACGAUCUUCCUCCAUGCCACCAUCGUUCCGUUCUGCAGGUGUGAAUUCCGAUGCCUCGGUGUUGUCCCAUCAUUGCUUCUGCCUCCUCACGUGCAGAGAAGCUGUGAGGACAGAGCUGAGACAUUACAGCUAUUCCAGAAAUAAAAUAUUUUUGAAAUCGCUCUUUGUGUCCUUGUGUAAUCAUGAACCUUUGCAUGCAGC
rnacentral:lncRNA from 1 species